GGGAAUCUGCACCUAUUCCGUACAUGAACUGCAACAGCAUGAUGCCAUGCGGAAGAUAGCGAAAGCAUAACCCUGGUCCUGGCACACCAGGUGACUUCUUUUUCUCGAACAUGGCUCCAGGUGAGUUCAUCUUUUGAGUCUUGACCAACACAUCAAACAAGCUGAGAUGUGUUUGGGUGAGAAAGGUUGGGGAAGAACCUCAUGUAUACCUGACGCUGCACCUCACCAUAGAGCUGCAGGAAGAACGAAUGGCGAUGCCCGGCGACGACGUUUUGCUUGCCCACCCUUGCCUGGUUGACUCCCUGAUCCAUCACGGCCGUGCGAUGCCGUCGUGGAACGCUGCAUCGUGCGAGAGCAGAGCGAGACGGAGACGCCGCACCAUAUAUAGGUACACCGCGCACUCUGGCAGUGCGACGCGGUGACAAGCGUGCGCCCGUGUCUCGUUCGGCGGGCGACAAAUCACCACCACCGCCUGGGAGUGGGAGCUCUCUCCUCAGCCGGCGCAGCAGGUCGAUCAGUUGAUGCUUGGCCACCCUGCCUGAAGAAGAAUGCCGCCCAUCACGACCGUAAUAGUAAGACUCCGCAACGCCAUGCCGGACGCGCGGCGCAAAUCAAAGGGAAGGAACGACGAGCAAGCAAACCGUCCGCCCGCCGGCGACGACGUACCUCGGUACCUGCGCCUGCUGCGGCGGUGGCAAAGCCCCUCGCCGUCCCAUUUGUCCCCCG
rnacentral:lncRNA from 1 species